rnacentral:rRNA from 1 species
GACGAACGCUGGCGGCGUGCUUAACACAUGCAAGUCGAACGCUGAAGCUUGGUGCUUGCACUGGGUGGAUGAGUGGCGAACGGGCGAGUAAUACGUGAGUAACCUGCCCUUGACUCUGGGAUAAGCCUGGGAAACUGGGUCUAAUACUGGAUAUGACAUGCCACUGCAUGGUGGUGUGUGGAAAGGGUUUUGCUGGUUUUGGAUGGGCUCACGGCCUAUCAGCUUGUUGGUGGGGUAAUGGCCUACCAAGGCGACGACGGGUAGCCGGCCUGAGAGGGUGACCGGCCACACUGGGACUGAGGCACGGCCCAGACUCCUACGGUAGGCAGCGGUGGGGAAUAUUGCACAAUGGGCCGAAGCCUGAUGCGGCGACGCCGCGUGAGGGAUGACGGCCUUCGGGUUGUAAACCUCUUUCAGCACGGAAGAAGCGAGAGUGACGGUACGUGCAGAAGAAGCGCCGGCUAACUACGUG